rnacentral:lncRNA from 1 species
GGAAAUUGCCAGACUGUCAUACAACAAUCAGUCUAACCCACCUAAAUUGUUCCACAGAUUAGCCAUCGAUUGUUAGAAAAGUCCCUGACUUCCUUUAUCUUUAUGGCACCAAUACAAAUAUGGUAUCCUGGAGGACACGCCUCCUUUUAACUACGAACCUAUAAAUAUCAAGGCAUUUUUACUGAGAUUGAGAAGAACCCAGCAAAAUGGGGAUCUCCACAGUCAUCCUUCAAAUAUGUCUUUUAUUGGGUCAAAUUCUAUCUACAGUUCCAGCAACAUCAGCAACGAGACACACCACAGAAAGUGCUUUCUGGGAGUUACUCAGCUCUGUUUCUGAGUCAGAUUCUCCCAGAACACAUGGUAAGUAUUUUGAAAAUGGUAUGGUGUAUUUGGUUUAAAGUUUAUCAUUCUAUAUAGCUAUUUAUAUCUGAAGAAUACACACAGCCUCUCUGGAACUUAGUGAAUGGUAUGAGGAUUGGGUAAUAAUGUGAUUUGCGUCCUUCAUGGAAAUACAAAGGCAAUAGAAACUUCUUUCAGCUGCAGGACAAAUGGACUGUGGUUACACAGUUAGUUUUUUCUUUGAUUUUGUUUUGCCUUCACCUCAAACUUCAGUGCACAUCAGAAUCAACUAGGGUAUUUGGUUGAAUGCAGGUCCUUAGAAUUCACCUCCCCACCCCAGACACUUGGAUUUGGGUGGUCUGGGGUGGGACUUGGGAAUCUGAAUUUUUAUGUAACUGAAAAUAAAGAUGGUCUGCAGACCCCA